AAAAAGGAAUAAUGAGAAAGAUAGAUUGCUGUAAUCCAUUUAUUUUGAAUUUAGAUUGAGGUUGAAAAGGUGGUUGAGACCCAAGCUGAAUUGGAGUUGAUCCAAACUCACCAACAAGAGGUAUUCACCUGCGCCCUUGUUUGCCUUCUCCCUUCAAUAUUUGCUUUUAGGUACACAUUUUACCUAUGUCCUUGUGUUGAUCUUAAAGUAGGAUCUUUGGAGGGGUAGAGAGGUAUUGGGAGGGAGUUUGGAAGUUCAUUAGAUUUAAAUUUUAAUCCAUAAAUAGUUAGAGGAGGUGGUGGGUAAUUUUAGUAAGAAUUCUCGUUGAGGAAUUGGGAAAGAAUAGCUCUCUUCAAUGUCUAACUUCUUUCGAUAUUUGCAAUAUGCAUUUCUACUUUUUAGUGUGUUUUGUGUUGUUGUUGAGUGUUCAUGUUUGGUGGUAACUAACAUUUUAUUCCUCAUGCCUUUGCAUCCAUGAACGAAUGGUUAUUAACCAAAUCAAUCACCUUGCAAAUCAUUAGAUAAAUUCACUGUUUAGAGACUAAAGAUAUUGAAGUUUAAGUAUUGCACUGUCACAAUUCUAUACCAUAGGGGUAUAGAGUUUAUCUUGUUAUACUAAACUUUAGAGACUAAAUUAUAACUUACAUGAAAGUCGUCCAAUGACUAAAUGUGAAUUCUAAUCUAAAAUAGGUGAAGUGAGCAUAGAUAACUGUAGAAGGUGAGCGAGUGCAAAGGUACUUCUUAUGACCUCAUGUCUCAACUCAAAUAUUGGGAAAGUAGCA
rnacentral:lncRNA from 1 species